GAUUCUGAUUGUCCAAGUUAUCUAUGUGCUGUCGAUGGAAUUGGGAGAUGUUUUUCGUAUGGUUGUGCAUGUGUGUAUAACCCUUAAGUAACUUUAUGUUAUUUUUAUUUUCAUGAUAUUUAUAAUCUUAUAACUCUAAUAUAUGAUUUUUUUUCACUAUCUUUAAAGAAACACUACUAAAUAAGGACAUUACAACUAGGAGAGUUUAAGAAUAGGAUUAGAUGUUCUUAUUUACUACUAAAAUAUUGUAUUUUUUUUCAUAAAAACUUGUAAUUAACUGAAAUAUUAUAAUAAAUGACUUAAACUUUGAAACUAGUUUUUUUUAUA
rnacentral:lncRNA from 1 species